rnacentral:lncRNA from 1 species
AAAAAUGCAUGUUAUUUCUUUUUACAAGCCAUUCCAAUAUAAUUGCUUUCAGAAUAUUUGGUAUAGACUUAAAAAGUAUUAUAAAUAUCAACAUCAAUAACUCUGAAUAACUUCACUCAAUAUACAGUGCCCAAAUCUGUUUUUUUUCCAUGAAGAUAAUGUUUAUAAUCUUUUGUUCACGCUAUUACCAUGAUUAUAAAGUACAUGUACAUCUUUAAAGAAACAUUUCCUAAUUUACAAGGAUACCAGAAAAAUGUCAAUCAUGAUCAGCUGUUUAACGUUACAAGUUAUCUUAUUAAUAGGCGCGAUACAAAUCACACAAUAAAAAUAUUUGACUGAGAUUAUAGCAAUGAUUGAAGUUUUUGUUUUAAUGUAGUAAAAUCUGUGAAAAAAACACCUUCUAUAUUAUGUAAAACUAUUCCAUUAUUUAAGUGGAGUGGAGGGUGGGUGAUGCUGUCCUUUAAACACAGAUCUGAACAACAUAAAUGUAUUCAGAUAUAUACUGAUCAACAUGAUAUCAGCUGAACAAUAUACAACAAUAUUAUUUUACCUACAAUUGCACCAAUAUCAAAACUAAUAUACAAUCAAUAACUGUACAAACAUCCCUAAACAUCAUUCAAACAUAUACAAAGAUCAUGAAACAAUAAACACUCAGUUGAACUAUACCAUGGAAACAUAAACACUUAAUAUUCUUAUGUUAUUCUGUCUCAUUAACACGAUUACAUUUUUCAUUCGGAAAUUACAACUUGGCUUUUAUCAGUUUUAUAUGGUACCUAUAUUUCCUUAAAAAUCUAUGUGCACUAUAAAAAGACCAAAAAGAUAGUGUUAAUUACAUUUU